rnacentral:rRNA from 1 species
GUAGGUGGCAAGCGUUGUCCGGAAUUAUUGGGCGUAAAGCGCGCGCAGGCGGUCCUUUAAGUCUGAUGUGAAAGCCCACGGCUCAACCGUGGAGGGUCAUUGGAAACUGGGGGACUUGAGUACAGAAGAGGAAAGCGGAAUUCCAAGUGUAGCGGUGAAAUGCGUAGAGAUUUGGAGGAACACCAGUGGCGAAGGCGGCUUUCUGGUCUGUAACUGACGCUGAGGCGCGAAAGCGUGGGGAGCAAACAGGGAUUAGAUACCCUGGUAGUCCACGCCGUAAACGAUGAGUGCUAAGUGUUAGGGGUUUCCCGCCCCUUAGUGCUGCAGCUAACGCAUUAAGCACUCCGCCUGGGGAGUACGGCCGCAAGGCUG